rnacentral:rRNA from 1 species
GACGAACGCUGGCGGCGUGCUUAACACAUGCAAGUCGAACGGAAAGGCCCUGCUUUUGUGGGGUGCUCGAGUGGCGAACGGGUGAGUAACACGUGAGUAACCUGCCCUUGACUUUGGGAUAACUUCAGGAAACUGGGGCUAAUACCGGAUAGGAGCUCCUGCUGCAUGGUGGGGGUUGGAAAGUUUCGGCGGUUGGGGAUGGACUCGCGGCUUAUCAGCUUGUUGGUGGGGUAGUGGCUUACCAAGGCUUUGACGGGUAGCCGGCCUGAGAGGGUGACCGGCCACAUUGGGACUGAGAUACGGCCCAGACUCCUACGGGAGGCAGCAGUGGGGACUAGUGCACAAUGGGCGGAAGCCUGAUGCAGCAACGCCGCGUGCGGGAUGACGGCCUUCGGGUUGUAAACCGCUUUCGCCUGUGACGAAGCGUGAGUGACGGUAAUGGGGAAAGAAGCACCGGCUAACUACGU